rnacentral:rRNA from 1 species
UUAUUUGAAACAGGAUACAACCUCCAACACCGGGUUAAUCUAGAUUAUAAAAACUAAGUGGGCCUAAAAGCAGCCAUCUUAUAAAAAGCGUUAAAGCUUAACUUUAUUAACAUCUAUAAUACCGCACACCAUUAUUAACCCUUUAUCACUACUGAACUAUUUUAUACCCCUAUAAAAGUUAUCAUGCUAGAACUAGUAACAAGAAAUAGCCUUUCUCCAAAUGUAAACGUAAACCAAAAUGGACCUACCAUUGGUAAUUACCGCAAAUGCACUAAUCAUAGCACCAUAAACUAGAAAACCCUAUGACAUCUUUAGCGUUAACCUAACACCAGAACAUUUCAGGAAAGAUUUAAAAAGAGAGAAGGAACUCGGCAAAUUUUAACCCCGCCUGUUUACCAAAAACAUCGCCUUUUGAUUAAAUAUAAGAGGUCCAGCCUGCCCAGUGACAUAGUUUAACGGCCGCGGUAUCCUAACCGUGCAAAGGUAGCAUAAUCACUUGUUCUUUAAAUAAGGACUAGUAUCAACGGCAUCACGAGGGUUACACUGUCUCCUCUCUUUAAUCAGUGAAACUGAUCUCCCCGUGAAGAAGCGGAGAUAAACCU